CAUGACAUUCAGAUCAUGGAUGUAGGAAUUUUACAUAGGAUGCCUGAUUUAAGGGAGUAUAAGAAAAGUAUAAGAUGAAGUAAUUCUUAAUUUGGGUAUGUUCCACUACCCCAAAAGUUCUGUGACAAAGAGUACUUAGUGACAACCCAGAAAAGAGACUCUUAAUCUUCAGCCUGAAACAGCUGAAACCCUGGAAAGCCAUCUUAUUCACUGUGAUGCAGUCAUCACUGACUAGCAUUGAAUAUUAGAUUCCCAAUUGUGUGAAUUGUUUGAAGGUGUCACUAAACUAGAAGACUGAAAAUUCAUUUUAAGAAUUAAAUUGAGGAAAACGUACUGCAUAAAUGAGGAAUUACAAAGAACUGGCAAUUAACUGAGCAUGCUAAAUGGAUUCCAUGAGUAAGUUUUCAAGAUAGGGUAUACUUACUACAUGCAUUUUGC